ACGAACGCUGGCGGCGUGCUUAACACAUGCAAGUCGAACGAUGAAGCCCAGCUUGCUGGGUGGAUUAGUGGCGAACGGGUGAGUAACACGUGAGUAACCUGCCCUUGACUCUGGGAUAAGCACUGGAAACGGUGUCUAAUACCGGAUAUUUCAACUGACCGCAUGGUCUGGUUGUGGAAAGAAUUUUGGUCAAGGAUGGACUCGCGGCCUAUCAGGUAGUUGGUGAGGUAAUGGCUCACCAAGCCUACGACGGGUAGCCGGCCUGAGAGGGUGACCGGCCACACUGGGACUGAGACACGGCCCAGACUCCUACGGGAGGCAGCAGUGGGGAAUAUUGCACAAUGGGCGAAAGCCUGAUGCAGCAACGCCGCGUGAGGGACGACGGCCUUCGGGUUGUAAACCUCUUUUAGUAGGGAAGAAGCGAAAGUGACGGUACCUGCAGAAAAAGCACCGGCUAACUACGU
rnacentral:rRNA from 1 species